CUACUACUACCUCCGUCCAAAAAUACUUGUCAUUGAAAUGGAUGUAUCUAGAUGUAUUUUAGUUCUAGACACAUCCAUUUUGAUGACAAGUAAUUCCGGACGGAGGGAUUAUUAU
rnacentral:pre_miRNA from 1 species